GCCGGGUGUGGUGGUGCACAUGUGUAAUCCCAGUAACUUGGGAGGCUGAGACAGGAUCUUGAGUUCAAAGCCACCCUCAGCAACAGUGAGGCACUAAGCAACUCAUUGAGACCCUGUCUCUA
rnacentral:sRNA from 1 species